GCAUAUCAAUAAGCGGAGGAAAAGAAACUAACAAGGAUUCCCCUAGUAACGGCGAGUGAAGCGGGAAGAGCACAAAUUUAAAAUCUACCUGGUUUUCAGGUCGAGUUGUAAUUUGAAGAAACGUUUUUGACGUUCCGAGUUGGGAUAAAUCCUUUGGGAUGAGGUAUCAUGGAGGGUGAGAAUCCCGUGUAUACCAACCGCAGGGAUGUUAUUUAAUACGUUUUCUAAGAGUCGAGUUGUUUGGGAAUGCAGCUCUAAAUGGGUGGUAAAUUUCACCUAAUGCUAAAUAUAAGCGAGAGACCGAUAGCGAACAAGUACCGUGAGGGAAAGAUGAAAAGAACUUUGAAAAGAGAGUUAAAUAGUACGUGAAAUUGUUGAAAGGGAAACGAUUGAAGUCAGUCAUGCCGGCGGGAAUCAACUUAGGGGAAACUCUAAGUGCACUUCACGUUUGGCAGGUCAGCGUCGAUUUUGGAUAUCAUAAAAUGAUUGGGGGAAGGUAGCUCCUUCGGGAGUGUUAUAGCCCUUGAUAGAUGUGAUGUCUGGGAUCGAGGAUUGCAACGGAUACCCUUUGGGCUAGCCGCCUGAUCUCUAACUGGUGUUAGGUUACGGACAGCAUGUUGACCGUGAUUUAAUUACUGGUUAAAAGGUUAGAGCGAGUGUAAAUUCGUUAAGGAUGU
rnacentral:rRNA from 1 species